rnacentral:misc_RNA from 1 species
UUUUUUCAUUAAUUUGUUAUAGUCAUUAGGAAGAGUAAACUUGCUAACUUCUAAUUAUUGAAAAUCAUAAUCAGUACAUUGUUAAAUGUAAUGUAUUGGGUGUGUUAAAAAUGGGCAUCCGAAGACACCACAAGUUUUAAUACGGUUACGUGGGACGCAAAAGUCGGACUCGAGUCGGUUUUAAGGACUCUCAUCUUUCUCUUGUUUUUCAGUCUUCUAAUCAAUCGAUCGCAAGCGAUUAACUGACUAGAUUCAGAAAAGAGGUGUGGUAAUGAUCCUUCCGCAGGUUCACCUACGGAAA